AUGCAUGUCUAAGUACAACUGAUUACACAUGGCGACUCACGUCGUCAUACCAAGUGAAACCACAGACGGCUCAUUAAACCAGAUAUAACUCCCAGGAUCUGUAGCACCUUUUCGUUGCAUACUUGGAUAACUGUGGUAAUUCUAGAGCUAAUACAUGCCUUUAGAGACUGCGCCAGCAAUGGCGGAGCGCUUUUAUUAGACCAAAACCCUUGGGCACUUGCUUCGGCUUGUGCCACAACAAGCGGUGGUGAAUCUAGAUAACCACGCUGAGCGCAUGGUCCCUCUUUUUUGAGGCUUGUAUCCUCCCAUGGGGACGCCACUAUUUAUAGUAAAGAGAAAGGGACCUGCGCCGCAUCCUCCAAGUGUCUGACUUAUCAGCUGUCGACUUUAGGCCAAGCUCCUAAAGUGGCAAUAACGGGUAACGGGGAAUCAGGGUUCGAUUCCGGAGAGGGAGCCUGAGAAACGGCUACCACA
rnacentral:rRNA from 2 species